rnacentral:rRNA from 1 species
GACGAACGCUGGCGGCGUGCUUAACACAUGCCAGUCGAACGGUGAUGCUCCAGCUUGCUGGAGUGGAUCAGUGGCGAACGGGUGAGUAACACGUGAGCAACCUGCCCCAGACUCUGGAAUAAGCGCUGGAAACGGCGUCUAAUACUGGAUACGAAACUGGCCCGCAUGGGCAUGGUUUGGAAAGUUUUUCGGUUUGGGAUGGGCUCGCGGCCUAUCAGCUUGUUGGUGAGGUAAUGGCUCACCAAGGCGACGACGGGUAGCCGGCCUGAGAGGGCGACCGGCCACACUGGGACUGAGACACGGCCCAGACUCCUACGGGAGGCAGCAGUGGGGAAUAUUGCACAAUGGGCGAAAGCCUGAUGCAGCGACGCCGCGUGAGGGAUGACGGCCUUCGGGUUGUAAACCUCUUUCAGCAGGGAAGAAGCGAAAGUGACGGUACCUGCAGAAGAAGCACCGGCUAACUACGU